UACGUAGGGGGCAAGCGUUGUCCGGAUUUAUUGGGCGUAAAGAGCGUGUAGGCGGCCUGAAAGGUCAGCUGUGAAAACUCGAGGCUCAACCUCGAGACGUCGGUUGAAACCAUCUGGCUAGAGUCCGGAAGAGGAGAGUGGAAUUCCCGGUGUAGCGGUGAAAUGCGCAGAUAUCGGGAAGAACACCCGUGGCGAAGGCGGCUCUCUGGGCCUGUACUGACGCUGAGGAGCGAAAGCGUGGGGAGCAAACAGG
rnacentral:rRNA from 1 species